UUUGGUUCGGAUAAUUGAUUUUAUUAAACGAUUCGGUUUGGUUAGUGAGAUGUUUACUAAAAUAAUGGUUUGGUUCGAGA
rnacentral:pre_miRNA from 1 species